GGAUCAUUGUCGAAAUCGAACGGAAGAACGACCCGCGAAUCGUCAUUGCGUAGUAGACAGAGCCCGUGAGCACCUAACGCUCACGGGUCUCGCGUCGCGUCGGCGCGGUGUACUCGAGACCCGCGUCGUACCGGCGGACAAACAACGUCAGCACGGAUCGUGCCAAGGAGCUGCAUGGAGAGAAUCGUCGUCCCCCGCCUUUGAUAGUCGUCCUCGACGCGGGACGGGGGAUGUACGCAAUCUCUACUCAAAAGUCUAAACGACUCUCGGCCACGGAUAUCUUCGGCUCUUGAUCKAUKAARAAMGWAGCGAAAUGCGAUACUUGGUGUGAAUUGCAGAAUCCCGUGAACCAUCAAUUCUUUGAACGCAAGUUGCGCCCGAAGCCAUUCGGCCGAGGGCACGCCUGCCUGGGCGUCGUGAAUCCCCUUGCCCCUAGGCACCCGCACGAGCAUCGGCGGGGACAUAUCCUCGGGCGCAGAAUAUGGUCUCCCGUGGGAUCGGCAUGCACGGCAUGACGAGGUGCGGUUGGCCGAAAAUCGAGCAUGGCGGUGACGGGCACCACGGCGUUCGGUGGAUCGAAUGAGAUUGGCUGCGUCGUGGGCUCGGCAUGCGGCGGGCUCCGGACUUUGAAUAUCCCCGAGUGCGAUCCCAGGUCAGGCGGGGCUACCCGCUGAGUUUAAGCAUAUCAAUAAGCGGAGGAAAAGAAACUAACGAGGAUUCCCUUAGUAGCGGC
rnacentral:rRNA from 1 species